rnacentral:rRNA from 1 species
UGGGGAAUUGUUCGCAAUGGGCGCAAGCCUGACGACGCAACGCCGCGUGGAGGAUGAAGAUCUUCGGGUCGUAAACUCCUUUCGAUCGGGAAGAACGCCUUCGGUGUGAAUAUCACCGAGGGGUGACGGUACCGACAGAAGAAGCACCGGCUAACUCUGUGCCAGCAGCCGCGGUAAUACAGAGGGUGCAAGCGUUAAUCGGAAUUACUGGGCGUAAAGCGCACGUAGGUGGGUGCUUAAGUCGAAUGUGAAACCCCCGAGCUCAACUUGGGGACUGCAUGCGAUACUGAACACCUAGAGUAUAGUAGAGGGAAGUGGAAUUUCCGGAGUAGCGGUGAAAUGCGUAGAUAUCGGAAGGAACACCAGUGGCGAAGGCGGCUUCCUGGGCUAAUACUGACACUGAGGUGCGAAAGCGUGGGGAGCAAAC